rnacentral:rRNA from 1 species
UACAGAGGGUGCAAGCGUUGUUCGGAAUCAUUGGGCGUAAAGCGCGUGCAGGCGGGCGAGCAAGUCUGAUGUGAAAGCUCCGAGCUCAACUCGGAAAUGGCAUUGGAAACUACCUUGCUAGAGGGUUUGAGGGGGGACUGGAAUACUUGGUGUAGCAGUGAAAUGCGUAGAUAUCAAGUGGAACACCAGUGGCGAAGGCGAGUCCCUGGAAAACUCCUGACACUGAGGCACGAAAGCUAGGGGAGCAAACAGG